GAGAGAGGCUCGCCAGCAACGGGGACUGCUAAUCUCCGCGACCUUGGUUGAACCCCAGGGCUCACUCG
rnacentral:tRNA from 1 species